GCUUAACACAUGCAAGUCGAACGGAAAGGCCCUGCUUUUGUGGGGUGCUCGAGUGGCGAACGGGUGAGUAACACGUGAGUAACCUGCCCUUGACUUUGGGAUAACUUCAGGAAACUGGGGCUAAUACCGGAUAGGAGCUCCUGCUGCAUGGUGGGGGUUGGAAAGUUUCGGCGGUUGGGGAUGGACUCGCGGCUUAUCAGCUUGUUGGUGGGGUAGUGGCUUACCAAGGCUUUGACGGGUAGCCGGCCUGAGAGGGUGACCGGCCACAUUGGGACUGAGGUACGGCCCAGACUCCUACGGGAGGCAGCAGUGGGGAAUAUUGCACAAUGGGCGGAAGCCUGAUGCAGCAACGCCGCGUGCGGGAUGACGGCCUUCGGGUUGUAAACCGCUUUCGCCUGUGACGAAGCGUGAGUGACGGUAAUGGGUAAAGAAGCACCGGCUAACUACGUGCCAGCAGCCGCGGUGAUACGUAGGGUGCGAGCGUUGUCCGGAUUUAUUGGGCGUAAAGGGCUCGUAGGUGGUUGAUCGCGUCGGAAGUGUAAUCUUGGGGCUUAACCCUGAGCGUGCUUUCGAUACGGGUUGACUUGAGGAAGGUAGGGGAGAAUGGAAUUCCUGGUGGAGCGGUGGAAUGCGCAGAUAUCAGGAGGAACACCAGUGGCGAAGGCGGUUCUCUGGGCCUUUCCUGACGCUGAGGAGCGAAAGCGUGGGGAGCGAACAGGCUUAGAUACCCUGGUAGUCCACGCUGUAAACGGUGGGUACUAGGUGUGGGGUCCAUUCCACGGGUUCCGUGCCGUAGCUAACGCUUUAAGUACCCCGCCUGGGGAGUACGGCCGCAAGGCUAAAACUCAAAGGAAUUGACGGGGCCCCGCACAAGCGGCGGAGCAUGCGGAUUAAUUCGAUGCAACGCGUAGAACCUUACCUGGGUUUGACAUGGAUCGGGAGUGCUCAGAGAUGGGUGUGCCUCUUUUGGGGUCGGUUCACAGGUGGUGCAUGGCUGUCGUCAGCUCGUGUCGUGAGAUGUUGGGUUAAGUCCCGCAACGAGCGCAACCCUUGUUCACUGUUGCCAGCACGUUAUGGUGGGGACUCAGUGGAGACCGCCGGGGUCAACUCGGAGGAAGGUGGGGAUGACGUCAAGUCAUCAUGCCCCUUAUGUCCAGGGCUUCACGCAUGCUACAAUGGCUGGUACAGAGAGUGGCGAGCCUGUGAGGGUGAGCGAAUCUCGGAAAGCCGGUCUCAGUUCGGAUUGGGGUCUGCAACUCGACCUCAUGAAGUCGGAGUCGCUAGUAAUCGCAGAUCAGCAACGCUGCGGUGAAUACGUUCCCGGGGCUUGUACACACCGCCCGUCAAGUCAUGAAAGUUGGUAACACCCGAAGCCGGUGGCCUAACCGUUGUGGGGGAGCCGUCGAAGGUGGGACUGGUGAUUAGGACUAAG
rnacentral:rRNA from 1 species